GACUGGGGCAGUACACCUGUCAAAUGGUAAUAGGGGUGCCCUAAGGCAAGCUCAGGUAGGACAGAAACCUCCCAUGGAGCAGAGUGGCAAAAGCUCAUUUGAUCUUGGUUUUCAGUAUGAAUACAGACCAUGAAAAUGGAG
rnacentral:ncRNA from 1 species